GAAACCUUCUUGGCAAGAAGCUCCAAGAAUUCGGCCAUGUAGACACGGGAGAAAACGUAACCAGGGAUGGAAACGCUAGUGUAGUCAGAGUUCAACAAGAUGUUGGGGUUGGGAGCAGCUCUCCAACCGACAGUGCUGUAAUCGUUGAAAAGGACACCAGCACCGAUGACAAGGUCGGAGCUCUCAUAAACAGCCUUGGUGGUCUCGGAGCUGCUAACUUCACCCCAGUAGACACCAGCAUAGUUCUUGUGCUCCUCAGAGUAGAAACCCUUAGCAGCGGGCAUGAUGAAAGCGGCACAGUUCAAAGCUUCGGCCAACUUAACGAAGGCAGAUUCG